UCUGCCACACAUGAGAACUAUCCUAACUUACAGGUGGGGAAACUGAGGCACAGGGCAGUGACCAUCUGCCUCUCCUGAAGCCCUGUGGACCCUUCAUGGUGAGGAAGAGGAGGCAAUGAGGAGCUGAAUUUCUGUGAAUGCUGGGCUGCCCUCACCUCACUGAGCCGAGAGCAGACCGUGGCAGCUGCGUGACGCAGAGCUGUCCUCCUGCCCGGGGAUAAGGAAGCGCACGAAUGUGGGAAGAUGUUCAUCCCGGGUACGUGCUGCAAGCCUGAAUUUCUUCUGCUGGCUCCCUGCUGGUCUCAGUGCCACGUUGCUCUGGGGCAGGAGACCCUCAAAAGUCUCCCGAAGGCAAACACCCCAAUGGGUGUAACGACGGAUGUCUCGCUGUUCUCCCUGCUGAGCGCCUGGUGAAAUGAGGUAGAAACUGCAAAGAAAAGCAAUUGGGAGAGUGGUGGGAGUCAGACCUGCU
rnacentral:lncRNA from 1 species